AUUGAACGCUGGCGGAAUGCUUUACACAUGCAAGUCGAACGGUAGAGGGGGCAACCCCUCGAGAGUGGCGAACGGGUGAGUAAUAUAUCGGAACGUGCCCAGUCGUGGGGGAUAACGUAGCGAAAGUUACGCUAAUACCGCAUACGAGCUAAGGAUGAAAGCGGGGGAUCGCAAGACCUCGCGCGAUUGGAGCGGCCGAUAUCAGAUUAGGUAGUUGGUGGGGUAAAGGCUCACCAAGCCAACGAUCUGUAGCUGGUCUGAGAGGACGACCAGCCACACUGGAACUGAGACACGGUCCAGACUCCUACGGGAGGCAGCAGUGGGGAAUUUUGGACAAUGGACGCAAGUCUGAUCCAGCCAUUCCGCGUGCAGGAUGAAGGCCCUCGGGUUGUAAACUGCUUUUGUGCAGAACGAAAAGGUUUCUACUAAUACUAGGAGCUCAUGACGGUACUGUAAGAAUAAGCACCGGCUAACUACGUGCCAGCCGCCGCCGUAA
rnacentral:rRNA from 1 species